rnacentral:snRNA from 1 species
GUGCUCACUUCGGCAGCACAUAUACUAAAAUUGGAAUGAUGCAGAGAAGAUUAGCAUGGCCCCUGUGCAAGGAUGACAAACAAAUUCAUGAAGUGUUCCAUAUUUUU